rnacentral:rRNA from 1 species
CCUACGGUUGGCAGCAGUAGGGAAUCUUUCACAAUGGGCGAAAGCCUGAUGGAGCAACGCCGCGUGCAGGAUGAAGGCCUUCGGGUUGUAAACUGCUUUUAUAAGCGAGAAAUAUGAUGGUAACUUAUGAAUAAGUAUCUUCUAACUACGUGCCAGCAGCCGCGGUCAUACGUAGGAUCCGAGCAUUAUACGGAGUGACUGGGUGUAAAGAGUGGCGUAUAUGGCAUAAUAAUUAGCUAGUGAAAUCUGGUGGCUCAAAAAUUCAGACUAUUAGCUAAACUGUUAAGCUCGAGACCGUUAGGGGUAACUGGAAUUUCUAGGGUAGGCGUUAAAUCCGUAGAUAUUAGAAGGAACACCAAUAGCGUAGGCAGGUUGCUGGGACGGUUCUGACACUAAGGCACGAAAGCGUAGGGAGCAAACGGGAUUAGAUACCCCAGUAGUCC